AAAACACAAUCAAAAGCGGAGGAAAAGAAACCAACAGGGAUUGCCCUAGUAACGGCGAGUGAAGCGGCAACAGCUCAAAUUUGAAAUCUGGCUCUCGGGCCCGAGUUGUAAUUUGUAGAGGAUACUUUUGAUGCGGUGCCUUCCGAGUUCCCUGGAACGGGACGCCAUAGAGGGUGAGAGCCCCGUCUGGUUGGAUGCCAAAUCUCUGUAAAGUUCCUUCGACGAGUCGAGUAGUUUGGGAAUGCUGCUCUAAAUGGGAGGUAUAUGUCUUCUAAAGCUAAAUACCGGCCAGAGACCGAUAGCGCACAAGUAGAGUGAUCGAAAGAUGAAAAGCACUUUGAAAAGAGAGUUAAAAAGUACGUGAAAUUGUUGAAAGGGAAGCGUUUAUGACCAGACUUGGGCUUGGUUAAUCAUCUGGGGUUCUCCCCAGUGCACUUUUCCAGUCCAGGCCAGCAUCAGUUUUCCCCGGGGGAUAAAGACUUCGGGAAUGUGGCUCUCUUCGGGGAGUGUUAUAGCCCGUUGUGUAAUACCCUGGGGGGGACUGAGGUUCGCGCAUCUGCAAGGAUGCUGGCGUAAUGGUCAUCAACGACCCGUCUUGAAACACGGACCAAGGAGUCGUCUUCGUAUGCGAGUGUUCGGGUGUCAAACCCCUACGCGUAAUGAAAGUGAACGCAGGUGAGAGCUUCGGCGCAUCAUCGACCGAUCCUGAUGUUCUCGGAUGGAUUUGAGUAAGAGCAUACGGGGCCGGACCCGAAAGAAGGUGAACUAUGCCUGUAUAGGGUGAAGCCAGAGGAAACUCUGGUGGAGGCUCGCAGCGGUUCUGACGUGCAAAUCGAUCGUCAAAUAUGGGCAUGGGGGCGAAAGACUAAUCGACAUCCGGG
rnacentral:rRNA from 1 species